rnacentral:lncRNA from 1 species
CACUCCUCAGAACAGUCGGCAAUGAACCGCCCAGGGUCCAGUGACCCCUGUAUUUACUCGGGACUGUUUGCUUUUCCUGCCUGCAGCCCUUGAAAGCCGGAGGGUCUUAGGGUGUCGGUGGGAGCGGGGUGCUUUGGCUCAGAUGCAGAUUCUCGCAAACCUCAGAAACCCACAGUGACGAGAUGACUGAGAAGCUUCCUCCCCCUGGCACUAAUCACAACGGGCCCCUUUAAGAUUUUGAUCCAGGGCGGGAACUUGCUUGUUCCUCACCACCCACUGCAUCUCCACUUCUAAGGCAGCGGCGGCGGCAGCAGCGGUGGGGGAAAGCGGAUUCCGCCCGAGCCACACCGUGGGGAGCUCGCGGUCGCCACUUGCCGCCCUCAGCACUCUCUCAAGUCCGGCCCGCUCGGCGAGGACUUCCGUCUCCUGGGCGAACCCUGUCCAGCAAGCUGGGAUCUAUGAGUGGAAAGGUGACCAAGCCCAAAGAGGAGAAAGAUGCUUCUAAGGGUAAGCCCGCCCGCCGUGUGCGCCGGCGUCCCUUUCCUUCGCGUCCCUCGCGGGCGCGUCGCCCGCCG